rnacentral:rRNA from 1 species
CAAGUCGAGCGCUGAUUACGAGGUAGCAAUAUUUCGUAGUCGGAGCGGCGCAAGGGUGCGUAACACGUGGGUAAUCUGCCAUGAAGUUUGGGAUAACUUGCUGAAAGGCGAGCUAAUACCGGAUGUGAAAAUUGGGAGGCCUCUUCCGAUUUUUAAAGUUGGGGACCGUAAGGCCUGACGCUUCAUGAUGAGCCCGCGGCCUAUCAGCUAGUUGGUAAGGUAACGGCUUACCAAGGCUAAGACGGGUAGCUGGUCUGAGAGGACGACCAGCCACACUGGAACUGAGACACGGUCCAGACACCUACGGGUGGCAGCAGUCGAGAAUUUUUCACAAUGGGCGCAAGCCUGAUGGAGCGACGCCGCGUGGGGGAUGAAUGGCUUCGGCCCGUAAACCCCUGUCAUUUGCGAUCAAACCUUGUUAUUUAAAAGAUGACGAGCUGAUAGUAGCGAAAGAGGAAGGGACGGCUAACUCUGUGCCAGCAGCCGCGGUAAUACAGAGGUCCCAAGCGUUGUUCGGAUUCACUGGGCGUAAAGGGUGCGUAGGUGGUGGGGUAAGUCGGAUGUGAAAUCUCCGAGCUCAACUCGGAAAUGGCAUUGGAAACUACCCUGCUUGAGGGUCGGAGGGGGGACUGGAAUGCUUGGUGUAGCAGUGAAAUGCGUAGAUAUCAAGCGGAACACCAGUGGCGAAGGCGAGUCCCUGGACGACUCCUGACACUGAGGCACGAAAGCUAGGGGAGCAAACAGGAUUAGAUACCCUGGUAGUCCUAGCCGUAAACGGUGCACGUUUGCUGUAAAAGGAAUCGACCCCUUU